rnacentral:rRNA from 1 species
AAAGCUCUAUUGAUGGUACAANCGUGAAAUUACUUGGUAGGUGCAAAUACCUANUUAGUAAAUAAAAGACGAGAAGACCCUAGAAANUUUUGAUGGUAAGAUAGUCNCAAGUUUUUGUUGGGGCAACAUAGUAGCAUUCAACCUACACUANAUUACACGACANUAGUAUAGAUAGACUAAAUUACUCUAGGGAUAACAGCGUAAUNUUUUAAGAGUUUGCGACCUCGAUGUUGGACUAGGAAGCAGAUACUUAGAAAGUAAAAGGCUAGGCUCUGUUCGAGCCCCCAUAUCCUACGUGAUCUGA